GCUGUCAAAUUAUCUCUCAUUUGAUGGCUGUCAAUCAGCGAGGGCGUAAUGACGUACCAAAAACUUGAGCCUGGAGUGACUUUUGAGGAGUGAAACGUAUUCUUGACACUGAAAGCCGCAGUGGCGAGUGGGCAUGCAGAAACUGGUCGAAAAGAUCUCAAAUCCCGGGUUUGCUUGACCUCACUGUAAGGAAAGCCGUGCUCACCCAGACUACUCUGUUAUCUUAACCACAUCAGAGAACUACAAAGCAUCUCGGCUCUACGGACAUUCAGCACUCGAUAAUCUAUGAGUCAUCGUGAACCUCUGCUGCUGCAGGAUUGUGACUGAAGCACACUAGCAGCUGAAAUUGAUCAUCAACCAUCCUACUGCUCAAAACAGCGUGGGCAGAGGGAGAGCAAGGUCACAGCCAAGGACUUGCCACAAUCAGUGAUGGGCUGCAGAAGGGGGCUUAUGUGUCACGGCACAGCUGUUACGCUACAUACUCUGAGUCACAAGCACACCUUUGCGAAUGCAGAACAUCACCUUAAUUACCUUAAUGCCAGACUGUCUCUCCCCAUCUGGAUAGAUUCUGCCCUGGAAGCCUUAAUCUAAGUCUUAUUUCGACCAUCCCCACACACUGUUUUGGGAGUAAAAUCCUAGCAUUGCCUUGGCUUAUCUGUUUUUAUUUCCUGUCAGGUUUAAGUGUUUUAUGGUUCAGCAGUUCAGAGAAAGGGAGGUUUGUCUGAUGAUAGACAACAUGGCUAGGGGCAGUUGUGCUGUGUGCUCGUCAUGCUGAACCGAGCCCGGAGCAGGUUAAGGGAUAAUUUUGUGUCUGUACUAUCUGGAAGGACCGUCUCAGCUGCCAAUGCAAAGAUAAGCAAGGAGGAUGCUGCUGCUGCAGCCUGUUGAGCUGCCUGCAUCUGGGUCUGCAUCAUUCCAGGCUGACAAACAACUUGAGGAACAAUCUUGGGCAAGUGCAUUGUUUACCAUCACAUCUAGGAAAGCCAUGUAGUCUCUGUGCUAGGUGCAAAAGUUGAUUAUUUAUUUUAAAAACAACAGUAUUCCUGUGUGGAAAUGACAAUAAAACAUCAGAUUUUUACUGGUAGACGUGGGACACAUACACUAUUAAUAAUAUAAACACAUAGAGGAAAAAUCAAAAGAAAAAAACAUUAGUAAAGUGUUGGCACUUGAAGCAAUCAGAAAUGUAUCAUAAUAUAUGUAUACAUCAUCUCUUUUGUAACCAAAAACUUAAUCUGAUAAAUGUAGUUUCCCACUGAAAUAUAGUGGUAAUAUGCCGUAACAUAGUAUCAUAUGAAAAUACCCUAGUAAAUACAAGUAUAACUGAUGGUUGGUGUGACAUUAAGUCACAAAGGUCAAGUGCCAGCUGUCUGCACAUGGAGUGG